AGAGUUUGAUCCUGGCUCAGGAUGAACGCUAGCUACAGGCUUAACACAUGCAAGUCGAGGGGAAACGAUAGAGAAAGCUUGCUUUUUCUAGGCGUCGACCGGCGCACGGGUGAGUAACGCGUAUCCAACCUGCCCAUCACUUGGGGAUAACCUUGCGAAAGUAAGACUAAUACCCAAUGAUAUCUCUAGAAGACAUCUGAAGGAGAUUAAAGAUUUAUCGGUGAUGGAUGGGGAUGCGUCUGAUUAGCUUGUUGGCGGGGUAACGGCCCACCAAGGCGACGAUCAGUAGGGGUUCUGAGAGGAAGGUCCCCCACAUUGGAACUGAGACACGGUCCAAACUCCUACGGGAGGCAGCAGUGAGGAAUAUUGGUCAAUGGGCGAGAGCCUGAACCAGCCAAGUAGCGUGCAGGAUGACGGCCCUAUGGGUUGUAAACUGCUUUUAUAAGGGAAUAAAGUGAGCCUCGUGAGGCUUUUUGCAUGUACCUUAUGAAUAAGGACCGGCUAAUUCCGUGCCAGCAGCCGCGGUAAUACGGAAGGUCCGGGCGUUAUCCGGAUUUAUUGGGUUUAAAGGGAGCGUAGGCCGGAGAUUAAGCGUGUUGUGAAAUGUAGAUGCUCAACAUCUGCACUGCAGCGCGAACUGGUUUCCUUGAGUACGCACAAAGUGGGCGGAAUUCGUGGUGUAGCGGUGAAAUGCUUAGAUAUCACGAAGAACUCCGAUUGCGAAGGCAGCUCACUGGAGCGCAACUGACGCUGAAGCUCGAAAGUGCGGGUAUCGAACAGGAUUAGAUACCCUGGUAGUCCGCACGGUAAACGAUGGAUGCCCGCUGUUGGUCUGAAUAGGUCAGCGGCCAAGCGAAAGCAUUAAGCAUCCCACCUGGGGAGUACGCCGGCAACGGUGAAACUCAAAGGAAUUGACGGGGGCCCG
rnacentral:rRNA from 1 species